rnacentral:rRNA from 1 species
AUUGAACGCUGGCGGCAUGCUUUACACAUGCAAGUCGAACGGUAACAGGGAGCUUGCUCCGCUGACGAGUGGCGAACGGGUGAGUAAUGCGUCGGAACGUGCCGAGUAGUGGGGGAUAACGCAGCGAAAGUUGUGCUAAUACCGCAUACGUACUGAGGUAGAAAGUGGGGGACCUUCGGGCCUCACGCUAUUCGAGCGGCCGACGUCUGAUUAGCUAGUAGGUGAGGUAAAGGCUCACCUAGGCGACGAUCAGUAGCGGGUCUGAGAGGAUGAACCGCCACACUGGGACUGGGACACGGCCCAGACUCCUACGGGAGGCAGCAGUGGGGAAUUUUGGACAAUGGGCGAAAGCCUGAUCCAGCCAUGCCGCGUGUCUGAAGAAGGCCUUCGGGUUGUAAAGGACUUUUGUCGGGGAGGAAAUCCCCAGCGCUAAUACCGCUGGGGGAUGACAGUACCUGAAGAAUAAGCACCGGCUAACUACGUGCCAGCCGCCGCAGUAACAC